GUUUCAGCUACAGUGAACUUGAGCAGACGAUAGAACGUUUAUCGUCCACUUUUCUAUGGGAGUGGGCACACCGUGCCCUUAAAGCAGUGGUCGGCAAAUUUUUUGCUCAGUUUUCAGGUAUGGCCAGGCCCAUCCCGGCUUAACUUUUUCUACUACUUUUCGGUCUAUCCAUGGACCUCAGUGUGAACGAGCUUACUCCAGCAGGCGUCUUUCGCCUGCAGGCAUGUAAAAGACCCCUAAAAAAGGGGUGGUUUGCCCAAGCUCGCAGGUACCUGACCAGAAAGUAGGUCAUUGGUCAGCCCGGUCAGGGUAGCCUGACUUGAUCAGGAGCAUGCCGACUACUGCCUUAAAGGAAGUGAGAGAGGGUUGCCAACCACUAGUGCACUUACCCUAAUAAGACAGUUUCUACCAUAGCGAGGUAAAAGUGGAACUUACAGUUUUAAAAAGUCCAGAAGUUGUGUAGAACAAAAAAGUUGUUACGCAGAAAAAAUGUACGAUUUGUUUAUAACAACUAAAUAAAUGAAGCAGUUUAAUCUAUAA